rnacentral:sRNA from 1 species
UAUCACUCUAGCUGGAAAGAAUGGAGACUUCACAGUCAAUGGCCAGCGGCUCAAGAAAUACAUGAUAGAUCAGUUUAUUCCAGAAGGAACCUCUGUUCCUUUGGAGGAGCCUUUAAACGCCUAAUGAGUAUGAGGAGUCAAGCUAGAGACCUAAAACAAGCUCACUUGGGAGGAAGUCCCAAGCCUACCUUUGUACAUAUCUUUCAUUUUCCUUGUUGUUUUUGAUGCAUCUUGUUAGUGUUUUCAGGAGAUAAGUUUGAAGAGUUGCUGGAAAUAGAUUCUGGCUUUGAAGGAACAGCAAUACACUCGACCACAGAGCAAUCAAACUCGACAUUGUUCUGGCUUCUUCACACCAGGAAAUCACUCGACCACACCCUAUAGAGACCGAAUGACGAUGUGGUCGAGUAUAGCGAAUGAUGUAGUCACGACUUCUCCAGUCCCGUAGCUUACGCGACCGCGGUGCUGGCCGCAGCAGAAGAAGAGAGGUCGAGUAUCAUCAUAGCGGUGCUGGCCGCGACGAAGGAGCAAAAGUCGAGUACCCCCAGGGGGAAGCUGAGACACAACAGGGAGAUUCUUCGAUGGCCUGGGAGCAAUCACAGGCAGCUAUUGACGACCAACUCCGCUCCUUCUUCCACUGAGGUAUGCACCUCACUCCACCACUGUAAUAUACCAUCUCUUGUUUUUAUUUUGUUUUUGUGAUGUGUUUUGUCCUGAGUACUCUCUUCCAAAUUUAGUCACACAGUGGACUGUGUGAUUUAAGUUUGGGGGAGGGCUCAGGAAGUGUGUGUUGCAUUGUAUAUAAUCUUGAGUCUGCAUUCAUCUAAGGCAUAGAAAAACUAAAAAAAUUGAAAAAUUUCAGAAAAUGGUUUCACAAAAAUAGAGUGUUCAUGUAGUUGCAUUGCAUUUAGGAUUGAGUCUAGAGUGUUUCGUUUAGGAUUGUUGCAUAUGCAUAGGGGAUAAUGAUGAGAUAGCCUUGUAAGCAUUUUGGUUCACCAGAUAAGCUCAGUGCCCUCGUUGUUAGUUGUUUGAUGCGUUGUCAUUGAAAUUGAAGUAAAACUGCACCAUGCCUAGAUUGCUCUACUCGACCACACUGUUAGGAUCUGAUAUGAUUCCCUAUCAAUUUGAACUUGAAUCUGAUUUAGAAUUAUCAUGUCUUGGCAUCGAAUUUGAACUCAUGGAUACCCUAAAAUACUUGGAUUUUCUUACUCAUUUUAACCACUCUUGUUGAUCCAAGUAGCUGACUCUCCUUAUUAGAGCAGUUAACCCAUACCCAAACCUGAACUUUCUUUCAAGCCCUAUAUCACUUGUGAGUGUUUGUGAGGUCUUAUUUCGAUUGAGCUUGGUAGAAAGUGUUAGGUUCGUAACGACAGAGAUAGUGUCUCAUGUAGUUCUAGUUCGCGUUCUUCGGACUAGAUAGGACUAGGUGGGCGCUUAUAUCAUGGGUUGGGAUGUGUUUAAAAGAAAAGAGGGAAUUCAUUGUUGAUGAGGAAAGGGAAAGAAUUCUAGGGGAAGUAAGCUAAAGAAGUUAGAAAAAAAAUCUAGUAAAGGUUUUGGGAAUGUUAAAGAAAAGAAUGAGGUUCUUGUUAGCUAAAGAAGAAGGGUUAAAAGCCUUUGGUUUUAAAGAAA